CUGAAAUGACUGAAGUUUGGCCAAGCUCCUCCAGC
rnacentral:sRNA from 1 species